rnacentral:sRNA from 1 species
ACCUGCGAAGAACACAAGCACGCUGUAA